rnacentral:rRNA from 3 species
AGGGAUCAUUACUGAGUUUACGCUCUAUAACCCUUUGUGAACAUACCUAUAACUGUUGCUUCGGCGGGUAGGGUCUCCGUGACCCUCCCGGCCUCCCGCCCCCGGGCGGGUCGGCGCCCGCCGGAGGAUAACCAAACUCUGAUUUAACGACGUUUCUUCUGAGUGGUACAAGCAAAUAAUCAAAACUUUUAACAACGGAUCUCUUGGUUCUGGCAUCGAUGAAGAACGCAGCGAAAUGCGAUAAGUAAUGUGAAUUGCAGAAUUCAGUGAAUCAUCGAAUCUUUGAACGCACAUUGCGCCCGCCAGCAUUCUGGCGGGCAUGCCUGUUCGAGCGUCAUUUCAACCCUCAAGCUCUGCUUGGUGUUGGGGCCCUACAGCUGAUGUAGGCCCUCAAAGGUAGUGGCGGACCCUCCCGGAGCCUCCUUUGCGUAGUAACUUUACGUCUCGCACUGGGAUCCGGAGGGACUCUUGCCGUAAAACCCCCAAUUCUCCAAAGGUUGACCUCGGAUCAGGUAGGAAUACCCGCUGAACUUAA